CUCAGUAUCUUCGUGGUGCAGGAACUGAUGGUCGCCGCCUCUUGCCUCAUCACCGGCUUCGGUACCAGCCAGGAACAGUAGGACGACUAGGAGGAGGAGAAGGAAGAAGAGGAGGAGAAGGAAGAAGAGGAGGAAGGGGAAGAAGAGGAGGAAGGGGGAGAGGCCAAGGACCAGCAGCCAAUGUAGCAUUUCCACACUUGCUCAACCUCUUUGCGCCGCUUCAAAGAAGUGAGAAUGAUAUUCCUAUCAUGGUUUUUGAUGUGUAUGAUGGCGAGCCAGAGUACAAAGCCUUGAUCCAAGCAAUUAAGGACCGCUAUUGGGACG